rnacentral:rRNA from 1 species
GUGGGGAAUAUUGGACAAUGGGCGCAAGCCUGAUCCAGCCAUGCCGCGUGAGUGAUGAAGGCCUUAGGGUUGUAAAGCUCUUUCACCGAUGAAGAUAAUGACGGUAGUCGGAGAAGAAGCCCCGGCUCACUUCGUGCCAGCAGCCGCGGUAAUACGAAGGGGGCUAGCGUUGUUCGGAUUUACUGGGCGUACAGCGCACGUAGGCGGCUUGUUAAGUCAGGGGUUAAAUCCCGGAGCUCAACUCCAGAACUGCCUUUGAUACUGGCAUGCUAGAGUCCGUAAGAGGUAAGUGGAAAUCCGAGUGUAGAGGUGUAAUUCGGAGAUAUUAGGAAGAACACCAGUGGCGAAGGCGGCUUACUGGUCCGGAACUGACGCUGAGGUGCGAAAGCGUGGGGAGCAAACAGGAUUAGAUACCCGUGUAGUCC